ensembl:lncRNA
GAGUAUCAGUGGAGCAGGCCUGUGCAAGACAGGGAAACAAAAACUUCACAGAAGAUGAGGAAAAGCCGGAGCGUUCUGACUGUGUCACCUAAUGAGGACAGUAAAGAGCCUCCAGACUGCAGACUAAGUGAAUCUUUCACAUCUUCGGGUUGUACGCUCGGGGUGGAUCUGCGGCGGAGACGGCGCCGUUUCUCUGGUAACCUGCAGUUGCCUCCUUUAUCAUGGCGGCAGAUGGAAAGGUCCCGCAGUCCAGAUGAUGAGAUCAUGGCAAGACCAACUACACUGCCCUUCAUUACACCCCCUCGCAUUGACAUCACACCUGUGGACUCUGAGUGUUUCGAUGUGGAAAAUGGCCCAUCUGCAAGCUGUAGUCCUUUGGACCCCCAGGCCUCACCAGGUUCUGGUCUGGUUCUGCACACAAACUUUCCCGGCCACAACCAGCGGCGAGAGUCCUUCCUCUACCGCUCAGACAGCGACUAUGACCUCUCACCAAAGUCGAUGUCUCGAAAUUCUUCUAUCGCCUCAGAACUGAUGAAGGAACGUCUGGCGGGCUGUGCUCGAGUGGCCGUGCAGCAGGAUUUUCACGGUGCCCCCAUUUCUGUGUGUCUCUGUCCAGACGAGUCCUACCAGAAGCUGGCAGUGGAGACCAUGGAGGAGCUGGACUGGUGUCUGGAUCAGCUGGAAACCAUCCAGACGUACCGCUCUGUCAGCGACAUGGCCUCCAACAAGUUCAAGAGAAUGUUGAACAGGGAGCUGACGCACCUCUCUGAGAUGAGCAGAUCUGGCAAUCAGGUGUCGGAAUUCAUCUCCAACACCUUCCUAGAAAAGCAGAAUGACGUGGAGAUUCCCUCACCUACACUUAAAGCCCGCGAGAAGAAGAAAAAGCAGCAGUUGAUGACUCAGAUCAGUGGUGUGAAGAAAGUAUCUCACGGGCCCAGCCUCAACUGCGGCAUUGCUCGCUUCGGCGUCAAAACCGACAAAGAGGAUUUACUGUCAAAAGAAUUAGAAGACCUGAACAAAUGGGGCCUGAACAUCUUUACGGUUUCAGAGUAUUCUCACAACCGGCCUCUCACUUGCAUUAUGUACGCCAUCUUCCAGGAACGAGACUUGCUUAAGACAUUUAAGAUCCCGGCAGAUACUUUUGUGAUGUACAUGAUGACCCUUGAGGAUCAUUACCACCAAGAUGUGGCCUAUCAUAACAGCCUUCACGCUGCUGAUGUGGCCCAGUCAACUCACAUUCUGCUGUCCACACCUGCUUUAGAUGCUGUGUUCACGGAUCUUGAGAUCUUGGCAGCCAUUUUUGCAGCAGCUAUUCAUGAUGUGGACCAUCCUGGAGUUUCAAACCAGUUCCUCAUCAAUACAAACUCUGAGUUAGCGCUCAUGUACAACGAUGAGUCCGUUUUGGAGAACCACCACUUAGCCGUGGGCUUUAAACUUCUCCAAGAGGACAACUGCGACAUCUUCCAGAACCUCACUAAGAAACAGAGGCAGUCACUCCGAAAGAUGGUCAUCGACAUGGUACUUGCCACAGACAUGUCUAAGCACAUGAGCUUACUGGCCGAUCUGAAGACCAUGGUAGAGACGAAGAAAGUGACAAGCUCAGGAGUUUUACUUCUGGACAACUACACAGACAGGAUACAGGUCUUGAGGAACAUGGUUCACUGCGCCGAUCUGAGCAAUCCCACCAAGUCUCUAGAGUUGUACCGGCAGUGGACCGACCGCAUCAUGGACGAGUUCUUUCACCAGGGUGACAGAGAGAGGGAGCGUGGCAUGGAGAUCAGCCCCAUGUGUGACAAACACACUGCCUCAGUAGAGAAAUCACAGGUUAUACCAUAUUUGACGUACAACGUCGAAGAAGAAGACAGAGGGGAAGAAAUGGAAUCCACUACACACAUCCAGAUAGUUACCGAAGACGCAUCACCUGUCGACACAUAG